UACGAAGGGGGCUAGCGUUGCUCGGAAUCACUGGGCGUAAAGCGCACGUAGGCGGAUUGUUAAGUCAGGGGUGAAAUCCUGGAGCUCAACUCCAGAACUGCCUUUGAUACUGGCGAUCUCGAGUCCGGGAGAGGUGAGUGGAACUGCGAGUGUAGAGGUGAAAUUCGUAGAUAUUCGCAAGAACACCAGUGGCGAAGGCGGCUCACUGGCCCACAUUUGACGCUGAGGCGCG
rnacentral:rRNA from 1 species